UACGGGGGGGGCAAGCGUUGUUCGGAAUUACUGGGCGUAAAGGGUGCGUAGGCGGGUUUUUAAGUCAGGGGUGAAAUCCUGGAGCUCAACUCCAGAACUGCCUUUGAUACUGAAGAUCUUGAGUCCGGGAGAGGUGAGUGGAACUGCGAGUGUAGAGGUGAAAUUCGUAGAUAUUCGCAAGAACACCAGUGGCGAAGGCGGCUCACUGGCCCGAUACUGACGCUGAGGCACGAAAGCGUGGGGAGCAAACAGG
rnacentral:rRNA from 1 species